GAUGAACGCUGGCGGCGUGCCUAAUACAUGCAAGUCGAGCGAACGGACGAGAAGCUUGCUUCUCUGAUGUUAGCGGCGGACGGGUGAGUAACACGUGGAUAACCUACAUAUAAGACUGGGAUAAAUUCGGGAAACCGGAGCUAAUACCGGAUAAUAUUUUGAACCGCUUGGUUCAAAAGUGAAAGACGGUCUUGCUGUACAUUAUAGCUGGAUCCGCGUUGCAUUAGCUAGUUGGUAAGGUAACGGCUUACCAAGGCAACGAUGCAUAGCCGACCUGAGAGGGUGAUCAGCCACACUGGAACUGAGACACGGUCCAGACUCCUACGGGAGGCAGCAGUAGGGAAUCUUCCGCAAUGGGCGAAAGCCUGACGGAGCAACGCCGCGUGAGUGAUGAAGGUCUUCGGAUCGUAAAACUCUGUUAUUAGGGAAGAACAUAUGUGUAAGUAACUGUGCACAUCUUGACGGUACCUAAUCAGAAAGCCACGGCUAACUACGUG
rnacentral:rRNA from 1 species